AUUGAACGCUGGCGGCAGGCCUAACACAUGCAAGUCGAGCGGGGUUUUCGGACCUAGCGGCGGACGGGUGAGUAAUGCGUAGGAAGCUGCCCGAUAGAGGGGGAUACCAGUUGGAAACGACUGUUAAUACCGCAUAAUGUCUACGGACCAAAGGUGUGGGACCUUCGGGCCACAUGCUAUCGGAUGCGCCUACGUGGGAU
rnacentral:rRNA from 1 species